rnacentral:tRNA from 1 species
CGCGAAGUAGAGCAGCGGUAGCUCGUCGGGCUCAUAACCCGAAGGUCCCUGGUUCGAUCCCAGGCUUCGCAA